rnacentral:rRNA from 1 species
GACGUAGGGCGCGAGCGUUGUCCGGAUUUAUUGGGCGUAAAGAGCUCGUAGGCGGCUUGUUACGUCGUUCGUGAAAACUUGGGGCUCAACCCCAAGCUUGCGGUCGAUACGGGCAGGCUAGAGUUCGGUAGGGGAGACUGGAAUUCCUGGUGUAGCGGUGAAAUGCGCAGAUAUCAGGAGGAACACCGGUGGCGAAGGCGGGUCUCUGGGCCGAUACUGACGCUGAGGAGCGAAAGCGUGGGAGCAACAGG